rnacentral:rRNA from 1 species
AACGAACGCUGGCGGCGUGCCUAACACAUGCAAGUCGAACGAGAAAGGGGCUUCGGCUCCGAGUAAAGUGGCGCACGGGUGAGUAACACGUGGGUAACCUGCCUCUAAGAUUGGGAUAACUCGUCGAAAGAUGAGCUAAUACCGAAUAAGACCACAGUUCCCGCGGGAACAGGGGUCAAAGGUAGCCUCUGCUUGCAAGCUAUCACUUAGAGAUGGGCCUGCGCACCAUUAGCUAGUUGGUAGGGUAACGGCCUACCAAGGCAAAGAUGGUUAGCUGGUCUGAGAGGAUGGUCAGCCACACUGGAACUGAGACACGGUCCAGACUCCUACGGGAGGCAGCAGUGGGGAAUAUUGCGCAAUGGGCGAAAGCUUGACGCAGCAACGCCGCGUGAGUGAUGAAGGCCUUCGGGUCGUAAAGCUCUGUCGGGAGGAACGAAUGCUCCUGAGGUUAACAGCCUCGGGAGGUGACGGUACCUUCAAAGGAAGCACCGGCUAACUCUGUG